GGUGAACGCUGGCGGCGUGCUUAACACAUGCAAGUCGAGCGAAGCAUUUUUAUAGCAAUAUAAAAGAUGGCGACCGGCGCACGGGUGAGUAACACGUAUCCAACCUGCCGAUAACUCGGGGAUAACCCUUCGAAAGAAGGCCUAAUACCCGAUGGCAUAUCCCUUCGCCUGGUUGGAUAUUAAGACUUCGGUAUCGAUGGGGAUGCGUUCCAUUAGCUUGUUGGCGGGGUAACGGCCCACCAAGGCUUCGAUGGAUAGGGGGUUCUGGAGA
rnacentral:rRNA from 1 species